UACGGGGGGGGCAAGCGUUGUUCGGAAUUACUGGGCGUAAAGGGCUCGGUAGGUGGCCAACUAAGUCAUACGUGAAAUCCCUCGGCUUAACCGGGGAACUGCAUCUGAUACUGGAUGGCUUGAGUUCGGGAGAGGGAUGCGGAAUUCCAGGGUGUAGCGGAUGAAAUGCGUAGGAUAAUCUGGAGGAACACCGGUGGCGAAGGCGGCAUCCUGGACCGACACUGACGCUGGAGGAGCGAAAGCUAGGGGAGCGAAACGGGA
rnacentral:rRNA from 1 species